GGUGAUGCAGACAAGGAGAUCAUUUUAAAAACAUAUAGUCAAGUACUACAAAAGAUCCGUUCAGAGGAAAGCCUUAUUGCCACAGUACAAUCCAAGUACAAGGACAGUGUUGAGUUUAAGAAACAGAUUAUUGAAUGUUUAAAUAAGAGCCCCAGCGUGGAUCACUUGCUCUCCAUUAAAAAGACACUGAAAAGCUUAAAGGCUCGACUGAGAUGGAAAUUGGUUGAAAAGAAUAAUUUGGAAGAAUCUGAUGACCAUGAUGGAUCUGAGAUUGAAAAAAU